rnacentral:lncRNA from 1 species
GCUAGAUUUCCUGUAGCACCUUUGGUCGGAACGAGCUGGAGAUCAUUCUAGGUCCCGGACUCAUUCCCAGCUCCGCCUUGUCAGGAAUCCACCCUUCCUCAAGAGAGGAGCACAGAGUAGGAAGGAAUGAGUGCAGGACUGCUUAUGACCAGGUCACAGGUAAGUUGGGGUUCUUUGAUCUCUUUCCCCUAAUACGCCUUCUCCUGCCUGAGAGUAAAAA